GGGGAUGUAAUGGCUUCGACAGGCAUUUAAGUGUUUUUGUGGCAGUGGUCUGGUAAACCUAAAAUACUUCUAGGCUUCUUAAAUGCAAAUUUAGAAGAAAAAAACAAAAAAGAUUUCAUUAUGACAAAUGUUAUGAUGAACAAUUUAAAUCCAGUUUACGCUUAAUUUGAAACUGGUCAAAAUCUUAUUUUGCCCAAUAUAAGAUUUUUGUUGGUUAGGGCUUUUGAUCUAGUGAAAUUUAGCUUAUUUCUAGAUGACAUCCGUUAGCUAAAGCUUAUUAUGUUUUUUGUUAAUUUUAAAUUAAUAAGUUUAUUAAAAAAUUUAACUAAACUGUAGAAGCAAAACCACAAGAAUGUGUGGACCGGGGUUCGAUUCCCCGCAUCUCCACCA
rnacentral:tmRNA from 1 species